UAAUAAGAAUUGAUUAAUCAAUAUUGAUUUCGAAUCAAUAAUAGACUUUUAAGUCCUUAUUAA
rnacentral:tRNA from 1 species